rnacentral:ncRNA from 1 species
AGGAGCCGUGUAAUGCGAGAGUAUUACGCACGGUUCUCUGAGAGCUUCAAGUUGAAAUACUUGAUUCUACUCGUU